rnacentral:rRNA from 1 species
GGAAUCGUGUUUCGGCACGAGUUGUAAAUUGCAGGUUGGAGUCUUUGUGGAAGCGUGUGUCCAAGUCCCUUGGAACAGGGCGCCAUUGAGGGUGAGAGCCCCGUGGGAUGCGCGCGGAAGCAACAAGGCCCUUCUGACGAGUCGAGUUGUUUGGGAAUGCAGCUCUAAGCGGGUGGUAAAUUCCAUCUAAGGCUAAAUACUGGCGAGAGACCGAUAGCGAACAAGUACUGUGAAGGAAAGAUGAAAAGCACUUUGAAAAGAGAGUGAAACAGCACGUGAAAUUGUUGAAAGGGAAGGGUAUUGGGCCCGACAUGGGGAUUGCGCAUCUCUGCUCCUUGUGGGCGGGGCGCUGUGCUUUUCCUGGGCCAGCAUCGGUUUUUGCCGCA